rnacentral:lncRNA from 1 species
CCUCUCCCUUGGCUCGUACCAAAGCGCAGAGGAGGAGAGGGAGGAAGGAACCAUUAACGUCAAGCAAAGUUAGAAACGGAAAAGGAAAGGUUCUAGAACCCCUGAUCUCCUAGCAACGAGGCUGCGGAACCUCUGCAGACUCCAAGGGUUUUAUAGCGUCCGGUAGCGACACGGAGCCGGCUCCCCCUUUUCCAGCCUUCCUCCCCAUCUCCCAUUCUCCAUCCCCCACGACCUAUACCAGAGGUCCUUAGGCCUCCACGUCUCUCCUUUUGCCGAGUAGCCCAAGGUUUCCACCCAUCUGCCAGGGGGAUGGCGUCCACUCCGAUGGGGAAUGAGGGGGAGAAGAAGAGCAGCUGGCCAUCUCAAGCUGCACCCUCCUUGAGAGGAGGUCCGGCUUCGUUAUCUCGUUCUGAGGAAUACCUGUCCCAGAUCAGUGCAGAACUCAUGGAGGAGGCUUUGUGCACUGCUUGCUGCCACUUGAACCCUGUGCCCAUCAAAAAAAAGCAGUCACAAGACCAAGCGACUCAGAUAUCCAAACGCGCAUUCUUCACCAAGACCUGAGGCACAGACACCUGGUGAGUGAGGCUUCAAGGGAGAUGCUCUUUGUCCUGGGAGAGAGAAACCGUACCUGCAGCAAGGCAUACCUCCUGCCAACUCCUGGUGAAAAGAACAUGCCUCAAAACUACUCUUUUGCCACUCGUUAACCACUUCCGUUUGUGGGGACCUCCUGGUCAUGAGCAGCAUCAUCCCGAAGCCUUCAAAGUGUUCUGGAUUCAUCACAGGACCCUCCAGCCUCAGCCAGCAAGGAUACCACCAGGAAUGAAAGUGCUUUAAUAAAGAGACAGGGUGUGCAUU